GGAAUCUUCCACAAUGGGCGCAAGCCUGAUGGAGCAACACCGCGUGAGUGAAGAAGGGUUUCGGCUCGUAAAGCUCUGUUGUUAGAGAAGAACGUGCGUGAGAGUAACUGUUCACGCAGUGACGGUAUCUAACCAGAAAGCCACGGCUAACUACGUGCCAGCAGCCGCGGUAAUACGUAGGUGGCAAGCGUUAUCCGGAAUUAUUGGGCGUAAAGAGUGAGCAGGCGGUUGAUUAAGUCUGAGGUUAAAGCGUGGGGCUCAACCCCAUAAAGCCUUGGAAACUGAUUGACUAGAGUACGGGAGAAGUGAAGGGAACUCCAUGUGUAGCGGUGAAAUGCGUAGAUAUAUGGAAGAACACCAGUGGCGAAGGCGCUUCACUAGCCCGAAACUGACGCUCAGUCACGAAAGCGUGGGUAGCAAAUA
rnacentral:rRNA from 1 species